CCUACGGGAGGCAGCAGUGAGGAAUCUUGCACAAUGGACGAAAGUCUGAUGCAGCGACGCCGCGUGAAGGAUGAAGGUCUUCGGAUUGUAAACUUCUGUUGAGGGGGAGAAAAUGCGCAACAAUAAUACGGUUGCGAGAUGAUAGUACCCCUAGAGAAAGCACCGGCUAACUACGUGCCAGCAGCCGCGGUAAU
rnacentral:rRNA from 1 species